AGAGUUUGAUCCUGGCUCAGGAUGAACGCUAGCGACAGGCUUAACACAUGCAAGUCGAGGGGCAGCAGGGGCGUAGCAAUAUGCCUGCCGGCGACCGGCGCACGGGUGAGUAACACGUAUGUAACCUGCCCUAUGCAGGGGGAUAACCCGGAGAAAUCCGGCCUAAUACCGCGUAACACCUUAGGGGAGCAUUCUCUUGAGGUUAAAGGAGAGAUCCGGCAUAGGAUGGACAUGCGUCGCAUUAGGUAGACGGCGGGGUAACGGCCCACCGUGCCGACGAUGCGUAGGGGUUCUGAGAGGAAGGCCCCCCACACUGGUACUGAGACACGGACCAGACUCCUACGGGAGGCAGCAGUGAGGAAUAUUGGUCAAUGGCCGAGAGGCUGAACCAGCCAAGUCGCGUGAGGGAAGAAUGUCCUAAGGAUUGUAAACCUCUUUUGUCGGGGAGCAAAAAGGCUCUGCGGAGUCGUAUUGAGAGUACCCGAAGAAAAAGCAUCGGCUAACUCCGUGCCAGCAGCCGCGGUAAUACGGAGGAUGCGAGCGUUAUCCGGAUUUAUUGGGUUUAAAGGGUGCGCAGGCGGCGUGUCAAGCAAGCGGUAAAAUAGCGGGGCUCAACCCCGUCGAGCCGUUUGAACUGGCGCGCUUGAGUUCAGGCGAGGUAGGCGGAAUUCGUGGUGUAGCGGUGAAAUGCAUAGAUAUCACGAAGAACUCCGAUUGCGAAGGCAGCUUACCAGUCUGCGACUGACGCUCAGGCACGAAAGUGUGGGUAUCGAACAGGAUUAGAUACCCUGGUAGUCCACACAGUAAACGAUGAGCGCUAGGUGUCCGGGUCGCAUGAGACUUGGGUGCCCGAGCGAAAGCGUUAAGCGCUCCACCUGGGGAGUACGCCGGCAACGGUGAAACUCAAAGGAAUUGACGGGGGCCCGCACAAGCGGAGGAACAUGUGGUUUAAUUCGAUGAUACGCGAGGAACCUUACCCGGGCUCAAACGACUCAGGAAUAUAUUGGAAACGAUGUAGCCAGCAAUGGUCUGAGUCGAGGUGCUGCAUGGUUGUCGUCAGCUCGCGCCGUGAGGUGUCGGCUUAAGUGCCAUAACGAGCGCAACCCCUACCGCCAGUUGCCAACGGGUAAAGCCGGGAACUCUGGCGGGACUGCCGGCGCAAGCUGUGAGGAAGGCGGGGAUGACGUCAAAUCAGCACGGCCCUUACGUCCGGGGCGACACACGUGUUACAAUGGCAGGUACAGCGGGAAGCCACCUGGUGACAGGGAGCGGAACCCGAAAGCCUGUCUCAGUUCGGAUUGGAGUCUGCAACUCGACUCCAUGAAGCUGGAUUCGCUAGUAAUCGCGCAUCAGCCAUGGCGCGGUGAAUACGUUCCCGGGCCUUGUACUCACCGCCCGUCA
rnacentral:rRNA from 1 species